rnacentral:rRNA from 1 species
UACAGAGGGGGCGAGCGUUAUUCGGAAUUAUUGGGCGUAAAGAGCGUGUAGGCGGCCAGGUAGGUCGGUUGUGAAAACUGGAGGCUCAACCUUCAGAGGUCGACCGAAACCAUCUGGCUAGAGUCCGGGAGAGGAGAGUGGAAUUCCUGGUGUAGCGGUGAAAUGCGCAGAUAUCAGGAAGAACACCCGUGGCGAAAGCGGCUCUCUGGAACGGUACUGACGCUGAGACGCGAAAGCGUGGGGAGCGAACAGG